AUGUGCCAUGAUAAGGAAUUUCUUUCUCCCUUGCUCCCUGAGAACCAGUCCCAGAUGCCAGGAGCACAAAGGCUGCAGGGAGGGCCCCAGCGAGGUGGGUCAGCUCCCAGUUUACAUGCUGCAAGUCCCAGAUGUGAAUCCAUCGUGGGGGCCCAUGUGCAGGCAUGGAUCUGUCUGCUAAAACCAGACAAUGGCUUCCUACAAAGAGAUGAGCACGGGCAGAGGAACUGGAUGUUGGCAUUUUACCAAGCCUGCCAACUGCAAAGCACUUUUCAAAGCGCAUUGUGGGAAGGAGCCAACCUUUUUGAAAUGACAGGCACAUGUUAGUCUGCAAGAAAACGAAUCCGCUUAAUUUACUUAAAGCAGAGGAAUAGCACCAGCAAAGCGAAGUUGGCAGCCCCGACAAUAUGAAUCCUCCAAAAGAAGCUUGCCUCCGUGGUACUCAUGCUCUCUCAUGCUCAGACAUGGCCACUUUUGAUCCCUGCUGAGUUUGAGUCUAUGAAGAGGAGACAACAAGCCUACAGGUCUACAGCUGCAAAGGUAGGCGCCAAGGUAAGCGGAGGACUGCAGCCAUUUCAGGCAUCCAUCUUGCAGCGAGC
rnacentral:lncRNA from 1 species